rnacentral:rRNA from 1 species
UACGAAGGGGGCGAGCGUUGUUCGGAUUUACUGGGCGUAAAGCGCGUGUAGGCGGUUGCCAUAGUCAGGUGUGAAAGCCUUGAGCUUAACUCAAGAAAUGCACUUGAUACUGGGCGACUAGAGGACCGGAGAGGAUAGUGGAAUUCCCAGUGUAGUGGUGAAAUACGUAGAGAUUGGGAAGAACACCAGUGGCGAAGGCGGCUAUCUGGACGGUUUCUGACGCUAAGACGCGAAAGCGUGGGGAGCAAACAGG